GACGAACGCUGGCGGCGUGCUUAACACAUGCAAGUCGAACGGAAAGGCCCUGCUUUUGUGGGGUGCUCGAGUGGCGAACGGGUGAGUAACACGUGAGUAACCUGCCCUUGACUUUGGGAUAACUUCAGGAAACUGGGGCUAAUACCGGAUAGGAGCUCCUGCUGCAUGGUGGGGGUUGGAAAGUUUCGGCGGUUGGGGAUGGACUCGCGGCUUAUCAGCUUGUUGGUGGGGUAGUGGCUUACCAAGGCUUUGACGGGUAGCCGGCCUGAGAGGGUGACCGGCAACAUUGGGACUGAGAUACGGCCCAGACGCCUACGGGAGGCAGAAGUGGGGAAUAUUGCAAAAUGGGCGGAAGACUGAUGCAGCAACGCCGCGUGCGGGAUGACGGCCUUCGGGUUGUAAACCGCUUUCGCCUGUGACGAAGCGUGAGUGACGGUAAUGGGUAAAGAAGCACCGGCUAACUACGUG
rnacentral:rRNA from 1 species